UACGGAGGGGGCUAGCGUUGUUCGGAAUUACUGGGCGUAAAGGGCGUGUAGGCGGCCUGCCAAGUCAGACGUGAAAGCCCCGGGCUUAACCUGGGAACUGCAUUUGAGACUGGCCGGCUCGAGGUUGGAAGAGGAGAGUGGAAUUCCCAGUGUAGAGGUGAAAUUCGUAGAUAUUGGGAAGAACACCGGUGGCGAAGGCGGCUCUCUGGUCCACACCUGACGCUGAGGCGCGAAAGCGUGGGGAGCAAACAGG
rnacentral:rRNA from 1 species